GUAUAACAGAGGUGCUGGGGUUGUCGCUGACUUUUGAAAGGGUCGUGCACACCUCGGUGCUCUCGCACAUAAUCCAUCUCACCCCUUUGUGCAUCACCGCGUGGGGACCCCUUUUAGCUAGUUCUGAGGGGGGUUUUCAUGUUUUUACAAAGACACCCUUUUAAUGCAAUGUGUAGAAUGUCUUACUUUUUGCGAUCACACGCAAUCAAUACAACUUUCAACAACGGAUCUCUUGGCUCUCGCAUCGAUGAAGAACGCAGCGAAAUGCGAUACGUAAUGUGAAUUGCAGAAUUCAGUGAAUCAUCGAAUCUUUGAACGCACCUUGCGCCCUUUGGCAUUCCGAAGGGCACACCCGUUUGAGUGUCGUGACAUUCUCAAAACCUUCUUGGUUUCUUGACCAGGAAGGCUUUGGACUUUGGAGGUUUUUGCUGGCCUUCCUUUGUUGGAGCCAGCUCCUCUGAAAUAGAUUAGUGGGGUUCACUUUGCUGAUCCUUGACGUGAUAAGAUGUUUUUUUUUCUAUGUCUUGGAUUUUGCACUGUUCCUGCUCCUAACUGUCUUACAGAAGACAAAUGGUCAAGUGAUUGCCACUUGACCCACAAACCUUGACCUCAAAUCGGGUGAGACUACCCGC
rnacentral:rRNA from 1 species